GAGUCACCGGCCACCAACGCCCGGAGGGAGACCGGCGACGCUCUCCGCCGCGACCGAAAGUCUCACACGCCCUGAGCAGAUGAACCGGUCCCUCGGUCCGGUCUGCCCUCCCGCACCGGCGCCUUUGGGCUCAGCGGGCCAGUGGCCAGAUGGCGAGAGUUCUGGAUCUCAUCAGCUUUGUCCUCGUCACCCCUCUGGGAGUUCAGCCUCCUAAGGCUGUGAAACAGCCCAAAAGGCCCGGACACGCUACUCCAAAACGUCUCUCCUGGGCUGUGUGAACAAUAAGAGCUAUUUGGGGACGACAGGAAAAGAUAUGGCCCAUAGAAGGGCUCCUGAAAUCUAACCUUGCGACUCUUUAAAAGUUUCUUGUCCCUUGUGGAAAAGGUGCCGUUUUGGUUUUGGGGAAUGGGAGGUCCCUUCAGACAAUUCAUUUUAGCCAAACCCUCGCUUUUGAGAAGGGGAAGAAAUGGGAUUAUUGUAACACCAUACAGUACUAAUUUCAAAAUAAAUCAUCUAGAAUAGAGGAGAGAGAGAGUCCCCAAAUAAACAACCAUUUAAUACCUCUA